rnacentral:rRNA from 1 species
AGAGUUUGAUUAUGGCUCAGGACGAACGCUGGCGGCGUGCUUAACACAUGCAAGUCGAGCGGUAAGGCCUCUUCGGGGGUACACGAGCGGCGAACGGGUGAGUAACACGUGAGUAAUCUGCCCCUGGCUCUGGGAUAAGCACUCGAAAGGGUGUCUAAUACCGGAUAUGACACUGUUCGGCAUCGGAUCAGUGUGGAAAGUUUUUUCGGCUAGGGAUGUGCUCGCGGCCUAUCAGCUUGUUGGUGAGGUAAUGGCUUACCAAGGCUUUGACGGGUAACCGGCCUGAGAGGGUGACCGGUCACACUGGGACUGAGACACGGCCCAGACUCCUACGGGAGGCAGCAGUGGGGAAUAUUGGACAAUGGGCGGAAGCCUGAUCCAGCAACGCCGCGUGAGGGAUGACGGCCUUCGGGUUGUAAACCUCUUUCAGUACCGACGAAGCUGCUCUUUUUGGGGUGGUGACGGUAGGUACAGAAGAAGCACCGGCCAACUACGUGCCAGCAGCCGCGGUAAUACGUAGGGUGCGAGCGUUGUCCGGAAUUAUUGGGCGUAAAGGGCUCGUAGGCGGUUUGUUGCGUCGGGAGUGAAAACAUCCAGCUUAACUGGGUGCUUGCUUUCGAUACGGGCAGACUUGAGGUAUGCAGGGGAGAAUGGAAUUCCUGGUGUAGCGGUGAAAUGCGCAGAUAUCAUGAGGAACACCGGUGGCGAAGGCGGUUCUCUGGGCAUUACCUGACGCUGAGGAGCGAAAGUGUGGGGAGCGAACAGGAUUAGAUACCCUGGUAGUCCACACCGUAAACGUUGGGCGCUAGGUGUGGGACCUAUUCCAUGGGUUCCGUGCCGUAGCUAACGCAUUAAGCGCCCCGCCUGGGGAGUACGGCCGCAAGGCUAAACUCAAUGAAUUGACGGGG